CCCUACGGGGCGCAGCAGUAGGGAAUUUUCGUCAAUGGGCGCAAGCCUGAACGAGCAAUGCCGCGUGAACGAGGAAGGUCUUCGGAUCGUAAAGUUCUGUUGCAGGGGAAAAAGAGCGGAGAGAGGAAAUGGUCUCCGAUUGAUAUUACCCUUCGAGGAAGUCACGGCUAACUACGUGCCGGCAGCCGCGGUAAUACGUAGGUGGCGAGCGUUAUCCGGAAUGAUUGGGCGUAAAGGGUGCGUAGGCGGCCUGCUAAGUCUGGCGUGAAAGGUACCGGCUCAACCGGUCCAGCCUCUGGAAACUU
rnacentral:rRNA from 1 species